AUUGAACGCUGGCGGGAGGCCUAACACAUGCAAGUCGAGCGCGCGUGGGACGGGGGUGAAAAGUAUAGGAGACUGACUGCUGGAGGGGGGUAACUCCUGGAAAAGGUAGCGAAUACCGCAUACCAUCCUAUGGGCCCAGAUGGGAUAAGCUCGUGGGGGGGGGAAUGGCUCACCUCGGCGACGAUCCCUAGCGGGUCUGAGAGGAGGACCAGCCACACUGGAACUGAGACACGGCCCAGACUCCUACGGGAGGCAGCAGUGGGGAAUAUUGCACAAUGGGCGAAACCCUGAUGCAGCCAUGCCGCGUGUGUGAAGAAGGCCUUCGGGUUGUAAAGCACUUUCGGCGGGGAGGCGUUAUCCGCAGAAGAAGCACCGGCUAACUCCGUGCCAGCAGCCGCGGUAAUUC
rnacentral:rRNA from 1 species